rnacentral:misc_RNA from 1 species
GAAGCAUAAGGGCAGCUUUGAGACCAUCCAUGUCCAAGAUGCUACUGGCCAUGAGUUUGCUACUCGUCUUGGUAAUGUCUUUACCAUUGGCAAGGGAACUAAGCCUUGGGUGUCCCUUCCCAAGGGCAAGGGUAUUAAGCUCAGCAUCAUUGAGGAGGCUAGGAAGCGUCUUGCUGCUGCUGGUGCAGCUGCCACUGUCUGAUCUCACUGCCUUAUUUUGGUACUUUUGUCUGGAUGG